rnacentral:rRNA from 1 species
UGCGCAGGCGGUUCGUUGUGUCUGAUGUGAAAGCCCCGGGCUCAACCUGGGAACGGCAUUGGAAACUGGCGGACUGGAGUGCGGCAGAGGGGGGUGGAAUUCCGCGUGUAGCAGUGAAAUGCGUAGAGAUGCGGAGGAACACCGAUGGCGAAGGCAGCCCCCUGGGCCGACACUGACGCUCAGGCACGAAAGCGUGGGAGCAAACA